ACACGAAUUAAAAAUUGUUGGUAUAGCUGCAAUAUUUAACAUUAAUUUGGUCGAUCUUGAUGAAAUAAUUUAUAGCAAUUGGUAACUGAUCGUAAUUGCUUUGCACUGUACACUGAAUUUCCGACAACUAAAACGGUAAGUCUAAUACUUAAUAGAGAACUAAUCAAAUAACUUUUCGUCUCGCUGUAUAAACUGGUAUUUAUAAAUGGUAUUUGUUAUUUAUUUUGCUGAUCAACUUACAAGAUUUUAUGAUCGUAAUUAACACUCUGAAGGUAUUAUGAAGUCUUAUAUAUAGCCUGUAUAGUAUUCAGCAUGCAGCUUAAGGAGAAAAUGAAACAUUAUAAUUGUGACAAACUAUUUUCGAGAGCUAUUAAGGUUCAAAUGAUUUAUGGUAUAUAUAGCGCUGGCAGAGGAGAAUAAGGAAUGCUAAUAGUGAAACACUUACUUCUUAAUUGACUAGCCUUAGAUGCAUGAAUAAUGUGAUUGAUUUCGGCGUUUAACAUUAGAUAUCAGUUGAGCAAUACUGCCAAUAGUGUGUGUGGAUGACUAAUACACCAGAUUUCGAAUACAUCUGCAGUCAGUAAAGUAAAGCCCGGAUCAUAGGAGGAACCUUGCAUGGUUAGCUGUUUUUAAUGCUUUACCACACUAUCAUGUAUUUUAUUUAAUACUUAUCAAACGUUUGUCUUGUCAAUCUAUAUAGAGUUUGAAUUAAAUGUGCCAGGUGCCAGUAAUAAUAAAUAAAUCUAUUUGCACACAUACAGUUAUAUAGGGAAAAAAAAUACAAGAAUGAUAGAAAAAAAUACUGUAAAAUAAUGUGCAAAAUCACCUAUAAUAACCAUAAAGGGCUAAUCUAGAUAGGUGAUCUGCUAAACAACAACGUCUAUAAGUUAAGUGCACGCAUAAUAAGUAAGGUAGGCUAUAUAGAGGAAAACAUAUUGUUAAAGUCGCCGUAAAAUUAUAGUAAGGCAAAUGAAUUCGUGGCUGUCAAUUCUCACUGAUCUAAUUUCAUUGUCACGUUUGACCGGGGCUUGAGACCUAUAUUGCUAUAACAAGGAUAGCCUGCUCGCAGCCUGAAGAGCCAUAACAAGGAAAAACAAAGAUUUAUUUACCAGGCUUAGAGUUCAGCUGCAUACUGGAAUUCUUUAACAGAGAGAGUUGAACGUUAUACCUAAUAAAGUUUGCCAAAUAUUACACAUUCUUAAAUCUAUAGAUAACUAGAUUAUAGGCUUUAGCUUUUAUACUCAUAUAUGACUCUACAUGACUCGCAGUUUUAUUAAUAAUUUAACGGCUUUUUAUAUAAUAUUAUAUGUCUGUAGUAUAUUUGUCAGUAUUUUUAAGUACUUGUUUACCGGCUGGGAGGUCCGUAUACUGAAAAUAUUUUUCCGAGCUCUCAGAAGCGGGCCGAGACCGAAGGUCGAGGGACGCUUCUGAGACCGAGGGAAAAUAUUUUUCAAGUAUACGGGCCAAGUAAAUAACUUAAUUAUUUUUUGCACGAUGGUAUACUGGAUGUGAGAUCAGUUGUGUUUGUUUAUUUUAAAAUACUUAUAAAGUCGGAGUCCAAGCAUGGCUGACAUACUGCUAAAGCGACACGACAAAAAGCCUUUAAUUUUGAUGCAAUAGAUGCUUUUCUAUUCAACAAGAUAAUAAAAAGCUAAACUAUUUAUUUUUCUCAUGAUCGUCAGUGUAGCCUAUAAUAGUAAUAACAUGCUUCAAAAAUGUUUUUUCGACACGCAGCAACAAAUUCUACUUGCCGACAACAAUGACAUGCAGCAUGAAUUUAUAAAAAAUAAAUGAGAUGAUUCUAGAAAUAAUUUUAAACUGCCUUUUAAGAAUUAAGGUAAUAAUUUUUUAUGUUUGAGCUAGGAUACGUCCUAAUUGGUUCCAGUAUUUGUAUUUACGUAUAUUUUUCGACAUAUAGCUGAAUAUAUGCUGAGUUUUUGAAACUAAAUAUUUGCCACUGAUUUGUCGAUACUUAUACGUCCGAGAAAUACUUGAUUUUUGCAUUAGGUGGAAAAAAGUAAUUUCGAGCUUGGCACUAAAUCCAUCGAAGUCAGUUCAGCUUUUUUUUCUAUCUUUAGUAUAGAUAGGGAGCGAUUUUCAACAUUUUAGUGUAAAGUUUUACUUUACACUAUUGUGAUGGUGGCGAAAAUUCACACGUAUCAGUCAUCUAUUCAGUCAUCUAUUCAGUCAUCUAUUCAGUCAGUCAUUCAGCCAUAGAGUAAACUUUCCGGGGGUUGUAUACGAUUUAUGUUCUCAGUGAUUUAUUGUACUUAGUCAGUACUUUGAAAGUUUUUUUAGGUAAUUUCAGUUGUCUUCUUUAAAUGUUCUUUAGGCCUUUUGCCAGGUUCACAAAAAAUUCGAGGAAUCGUUGUCGUUAUUGUAAUUUUUUGUAAAUUUUAGAACAUUCGCUUCUCAUGUUAUGUAAAGGAUCUUUACUGCCCCGGAACACCCGACUUUUUCUUUAGCAGCGCAAAUGCGCAUGCGCUGUCAAGCCGUAGAUCAACGAUGGCGUGACGAUGCUUCGAAGGAGCGACACAGUGUUGUUUUCAAAUAUAUAAAUAUUUUAGACUUGAAAUUCGUGAAUAUAAGUAAAUCUUUGAGAAUCUGCGCAACAUAUAAAUUGAUGUUAUGCAUUAUGG
rnacentral:lncRNA from 1 species